rnacentral:tRNA from 1 species
GCGUCUUUAGCUCAGCUAGGUUAGAGCACCACACUGUCAGUGCGGGGGUCGUUGGUUCAAAUCCAACAAGACGCA